rnacentral:rRNA from 1 species
GAUGAACGCUGGCGGCGUGCUUAACACAUGCAAGUCGAACGAAGACAUCUGGAGUGCUUGCACUUGGAUGGACUGAGUGGCGGACGGGUGAGUAACGCGUGGGUAACCUGCCUUAUACAGGGGGAUAACAGUUGGAAACGACUGCUAAUACCGCAUAAGCGCACGGUAUCGCAUGAUACAGUGUGAAAAACUCCGGUGGUAUAAGAUGGACCCGCGUCUGAUUAGCUUGUUGGUGAGGUAACGGCCCACCAAGGCGACGAUCAGUAGCCGGCCUGAGAGGGUGAACGGCCACAUUGGGACUGAGACACGGCCCAAACUCCUACGGGAGGCAGCAGUGGGGAAUAUUGCACAAUGGGGGAAACCCUGAUGCAGCAACGCCGCGUGAGUGAAGAAGUAUUUCGGUAUGUAAAGCUCUAUCAGCAGGAAAGAAAAUGACGGUACCUGACUAAGAAGCCCCGGCUAACUACGUG